GACGAACGCUGGCGGCGUGCUUAACACAUGCAAGUCGAACGGAAAGGCCUGCUUUCCCUUGUGGAUUGCGGGUACUCGAGUGGCGAACGGGUGAGUAACACGUGAGUGAUCUGCCCCCAACUUGGGUAUAAGCCUGGGAAACUGGGUCUAAUUCCCGAUAGGACUGCAGGGUGGUGCCUGUGGUGGAAAACGAUUUUCUAGUGGUUGGGGAUGAGCUCGCGGCCUAUCAGCUUGUUGGUGGGGUAAUGGCCUACCAAGGCGGCGACGGGUAGCCGGCCUGGGAGGGUGGACGGCCACAUUGGGACUGAGAUACGGCCCAGACUCCUACGGGAGGCAGCAGUGGGGAAUAUUGCACAAUGGGCGGAAGCCUGAUGCAGCGACGCCGCGUGGGGGAUGACGGCCUUCGGGUUGUAAACUCCUUUCGACCGCGAGGAAGCCACCUGGUUGGAAGGGUGGUGACGGUAGUGGUAGAAAAAGCACCGGCUAACUACGUG
rnacentral:rRNA from 1 species